CAAUAACAUUGUUUUAUUGUAGAGUCUUCUCAACAUCCACAUGAGCCAUCUCGUCAUGAUGAACUCGUAUGAUGUUAGAAACCAUGGACUCUGGCACAACGAAUCGAUCAGCUAAUUAACGAAACUCGAAUUCUCUUUCCAUGGGACGUUCAUACUCUUCGGAACGGUUAAGAGCAUCUACGUGCUGUAUCUUAUUUCCUGGUCGAUGCACUACUUUAAAUUGGUUAAAUUUGUAAAGAGUCCAUUUCGCUAUCCUCGGAUUCAAAUUAACUUUGUUCAUGAUUAACUGAAAUAGAUUGACGCAGUGGCUGCCCAAUUUCCGUUACGUUGCUUUUGCAAUAAAAUUGCGCCAAGUCCCCAAUGGCUGGCAUCCGUGUGAAGCACUUCUGUUUCUGCCGCAGGAUUAUACAAAGCUAAUAUGGGAAACGAGAUAAGUAAGCGUUUCUGCGAGGACGGCUAAAUUUUGCUUCGACCGACUCAGACGGGAUGAGAAUGAGCGCAGUAAGGCGAGAUGCUCGGCUGGAUGAUUUUCCUUUCUAAUAAAUCAUCCACGAUCUCGCGCAUUUGCAGCUGCUCUGCAUAAGGAAAACGUGCGCGAUGCAAAAGCAUAAACUGAAUUAUUUUGAGGUGAACGCGAACCGAAUACCCAUCAUUAACAAAUUAUCAGACGUGUCUUCGACAUAGAGAGGGAGAUUGGC